CCUACGGGAGGCAGCAGUGGGGAAUUUUGGACAAUGGGCGCAAGCCUGAUCCAGCAAUGCCGCGUGAGUGAAGAAGGCCUUCGGGUUGUAAAGCUCUUUUGUCAGGGAAGAAACGGUCUACUCUAAUACAGUGGGCUAAUGACGGUACCUGAAGAAUAAGCACCGGCUAACUACGUGCCAGCAGCCGCGGUAAUACGUAGGGUGCAAGCGUUAAUCGGAAUUACUGGGCGUAAAGCGUGCGCAGGCGGUUAUAUAAGUCAGAUGUGAAAUCCCCGGGCUCAACCUGGGAACUGCAUUUGAGACUGUAUGGCUAGAGUGUGUCAGAGGGGGGUUAGAAUUCCACGUGUAGCAGUGAAAUGCGUAGAUAUGUGGAGGAAUACCGAUGGCGAAGGCAGCCCCCUGGGAUAACACUGACGCUCAUGCACGAAAGCGUGGGGAGCAAACAGGAUUAGAUACCCUGGUAGUCCACGCCCUAAACGAUGUCUACUAGUUGUCGGGACUUAAUUGUCUUGGUAACGCAGCUAACGCGUGAGUAGACCGCCUGGGGAGUACGGUCGCAAGNUUAAAACCGUCAAAGUAGUAGUGCCGGNGAGAGACGACGCGACGACGACGGAGG
rnacentral:rRNA from 1 species